rnacentral:snRNA from 12 species
AUAUUUACCUGACAGAGGAGACACUAUGAUCAGGCAGGUGGUUCUCCCAUCUCCUGCUCUCCAGGUGUGCUGACCCCUGCGAUUUCCUCAAAUGUGGGAAACUUGACUGCAUAAUUUGUGGUCUACAACAUAGGUAUCUGCCCUCUGUGGC